rnacentral:rRNA from 1 species
GAUGAACGCUGGCGGCGUGCUUAACACAUGCAAGUCGAACGAAGCAUUUAGAACGGAUUACUUCGGUUUGAAGUUCUUUAUGACUGAGUGGCGGACGGGUGAGUAACGCGUGGGUAACCUGCCUUGUACUGGGGGAUAGCAGCUGGAAACGGCUGGUAAUACCGCAUAAGCGCACAAUGUUGCAUGACAUGGUGUGAAAAACUCCGGUGGUAUAAGAUGGACCCGAGUCUGAUUAGCUAGUUGGUGAGAUAACAGCCCACCAAGGCGACGAUCAGUAGCCGACCUGAGAGGGUGACCGGCCACAUUGGGACUGAGACACGGCCCAGACUCCUACGGGAGGCAGCAGUGGUGAAUAUUGCACAAUGGAGGAAACUCUGAUGCAGCGACGCCGCGUGAGUGAAGAAGUAAUUCGUUAUGUAAAGCUCUAUCAGCAGGGAAGAUAGUGACGGUACCUGACUAAGAAGCUCCGGCUAAAUACGUGCCAGCAGCCGCGGUAA